rnacentral:rRNA from 1 species
AUUGAACGCUGGCGGCAUGCCUUACACAUGCAAGUCGAACGGUAACAGGUCUUCAGAUGCUGACGAGUGGCGAACGGGUGAGUAAUACAUCGGAACGUGCCUAGUAGUGGGGGAUAACUACUCGAAAGAGUGGCUAAUACCGCAUGAGAUCUACGGAUGAAAGCAGGGGAUCGAAAGACCUUGUGCUACUAGAGCGGCCGAUGGCAGAUUAGGUAGUUGGUGGGAUAAAAGCUUACCAAGCCGACGAUCUGUAGCUGGUCUGAGAGGACGAUCAGCCACACUGGGACUGAGACACGGCCCAGACUCCUACGGGAGGCAGCAGUGGGGAAUUUUGGACAAUGGGCGAAAGCCUGAUCCAGCAAUGCCGCGUGCAGGAUGAAGGCCUUCGGGUUGUAAACUGCUUUUGUACGGAACGAAAAGCCCUGGGUUAAUACCCUGGGGUCAUGACGGUACCGUAAGAAUAAGCACCGGCUAACUACGUGCCAGCAGCCGCCGUAACAC